rnacentral:rRNA from 1 species
CUUGAACGCUGGCGGCAGGCCUAACACAUGCAAGUCGAGCGGAUGAGGGGAGCUUGCUCCCUGAUUUAGCGGCGGACGGGUGAGUAAUGCCUAGGAAUCUGCCUGGUAGUGGGGGAUAACGUUCCGAAAGGAACGCUAAUACCGCAUACGUCCUACGGGAGAAAGCAGGGGACCUUCGGGCCUUGCGCUAUCAGAUGAGCCUAGGUCGGAUUAGCUAGUUGGUGAGGUAAUGGCUCACCAAGGCGACGAUCCGUAACUGGUCUGAGAGGAUGAUCAGUCACACUGGAACUGAGACACGGUCCAGACUCCUACGGGAGGCAGCAGUGGGGAAUAUUGGACAAUGGGCGAAAGCCUGAUCCAGCCAUGCCGCGUGUGUGAAGAAGGUCUUCGGAUUGUAAAGCACUUUAAGUUGGGAGGAAGGGAUGCUGGUUAAUACCCUGCAGUUUUGACGUUACCAACAGAAUAAGCACCGGCUAACUUCGUG